CCUACGGGGGGCAGCAGUGGGGAAUAUUGGGCAAUGGGCGCAAGCCUGACCCAGCAACGCCGCGUGAGGGAAGAAGGCUUUCUGGUUGUAAACUUCUUUUAAGAGGGGAGAACAGAGGACGGUACCUCUUGAAUAAGCCACGGCUAACUACGUGCCAGCAGCCGCGGUAAUACGUAGGUGGCAAGCGUUGUCCGGAUUUACUGGGUGUAAAGGGCGUGUAGCCGGGCUGACAAGUCAGGGGUGAAAUCCCCGCGCUCAACGUGGGAACUGCCUUUGAAACUGGCAAACUGGAGUGUGUGAGGGGAUAGUGGAAUUCCAGGUGUAGGAGUGAAAUGCGUAGAUAUCUGGAGGAACAUCAGUGGCGAAGGCGACUAUCUGGCUCAUAACUGACGCUGAGGAGCGAAAGCGUGGGGAGCAAACAGGAUUAGAUACCCCAGUAGUC
rnacentral:rRNA from 1 species